AUUGAACGCUGGCGGCAUGCUUUACACAUGCAAGUCGAACGGUAACAGGCCUUCGGGUGCUGACGAGUGGCGAACGGGUGAGUAAUGCAUCGGAACGUGCCCAGAGGUGGGGGAUAACGCAGCGAAAGCUGUGCUAAUACCGCAUGUGAUCUGAGGAUGAAAGCGGGGGACCAGGCAGCAAUGUUUGGCCUCGCGCCUUUGGAGCGGCCGAUGUCAGAUUAGGUAGUUGGUGGGGUAAAGGCCUACCAAGCCGACGAUCUGUAGCUGGUCUGAGAGGACGACCAGCCACACUGGGACUGAGACACGGCCCAGACUCCUACGGGAGGCAGCAGUGGGGAAUUUUGGACAAUGGGCGCAAGCCUGAUCCAGCAAUGCCGCGUGCGGGAAGAAGGCCUUCGGGUUGUAAACUGCUUUUGUACGGAACGAAAAGGCUCUGGCUAAUACCUGGGGCUGAUGACGGUACCGUAAGAAUAAGCACCGGCUAACUACGUG
rnacentral:rRNA from 1 species